rnacentral:lncRNA from 1 species
ACAAUGUUUAUGGAAGUUGGGUCAUCAUAGAGAUCCAAUUCCAGUGAGUUUAGUGAUACAUGGUUACAAUUGGAGAGGAAACACAGGAUGAUGAUGAAUUCAUGAUCUUCAAUCUUCAAUUGGAAAACUCCAAAGCUUGAAUUUCUUCAGUCUUCAAAGCCAGUUCUUGAACAAAAUUGUGUAACUUUCUCACAGAUGCAGGAAUAGCCUUUUUAUUGUUAAUCCUUCCUGAUCUGCGCAUCGCGCACCACCAAUUUGCGCAUCAUGCGCCAGCUGACGUGGCAUCUCCUGAUUCGUCCUCCUGGCGUAUCAUGCGCCAAUUUUUGACUGACCCGUAGGUCCCUCUUUCUUAAAUUUCUUGCGCAACUGUGCGCCAAAUACAUGCGCAUCGUGUGCAACUGCCCGAGGCACCCACUAUUAUCUUUCAUUCCUGCGCCCCAUGCGCCAUUUCUAAUUGAGGGCUUGUCUCCUCUUGUAUAUAUUUUUUUGUAAUUUGUAGGCACUACUUGUGCUUAUUUCUUUUACAA